UACGUAGGGGGCAAGCGUUGUCCGGAUUCACUGGGCGUAAAGCGCGUGUAGGCGGCGCGUCAAGUCGGGUGUGAAAGCCCGGGGCUCAACCCCGGGAUGCCGCUCGAAACUGGCGUGCUUGAGGACGGAAGAGGGGAGUGGAAUUCCUGGUGUAGCGGUGAAAUGCGCAGAUAUCAGGAAGAACACCCGUGGCGAAGGCGGCUCUCUGGGACGGUACUGACGCUGAGACGCGAAAGCGUGGGGAGCGAACAGG
rnacentral:rRNA from 1 species